GACGAACGCUGGCGGCGUGCUUAACACAUGCAAGUCGAACGGAAAGGCCUCUUUCGGGGGGUACUCGAGUGGCGAACGGGUGAGUAACACGUGAGUAACCUGCCCAUGUCUUUGGGAUAACUUCCGGAAACAGGGGCUAAUACCGGAUAGGAGCUACUGCUGCACGGAGGGGGCUGGAAAGUAUCGGCGGCUGGGGGUGGAUUCGCGGCGUAUCAGCUUGUUGGUGGGGUAGUGGCUUACCAAGGCCUUGCCGAGUAGACGGCCUGUGAGCGUGAUCGGCCGCAUUGGGACUGAGAGGCGGCCGAGACACCGACGGGAGGCAACAGUGGGGAAGAUUGCACAAGGAGUGGAGGCCGGAUGCAGCAGCUCCGUGGGCGGGAUGACGGCCUUCGGGUGGAAAACCGCAUUCGCUCAUAACGAAGCUUUGUGUGACGGUAGUGAGUAAAGAAGCACCGGCUAACUACGUG
rnacentral:rRNA from 1 species